GAAAGAGGUUGGAAACAACAAGAACUGCUAAUCCUUGCCCCCACGGUUAAACUCCGUGGCUCAUUCA
rnacentral:tRNA from 1 species